rnacentral:miRNA from 1 species
UCAGCAGUUGUACCAUUGAAAU